AUUGAACGCUGGCGGCAGGCCUAACACAUGCAAGUCGAGCGGAUGAAGGGAGCUUGCUCCUGGAUUCAGCGGCGGACGGGUGAGUAAUGCCUAGGAAUCUGCCUGGUAGUGGGGGAUAGCGUCCGGAAACGGGCGCUAAUACCGCAUACGUCCUGAGGGAGAAAGUGGGGGAUCUUCGGACCUCACGCUAUCAGAUGAGCCUAGGUCGGAUUAGCUAGUUGGUGGGGUAAAGGCCUACCAAGGCGACGAUCCGUAACUGGUCUGAGAGGAUGAUCAGUCACACUGGAACUGAGACACGGUCCAGACUCCUACGGGAGGCAGCAGUGGGGAAUAUUGGACAAUGGGCGAAAGCCUGAUCCAGCCAUGCCUCGUGUGUGAAGAAGGUCUUCGGAUUGUAAAGCACUUUAAGUUGGGAGGAAGGGCAGUAAGUUAAUACCUUGCUGUUUUGACGUUACCAACAGAAUAAGCACCGGCUAACUUCGUG
rnacentral:rRNA from 1 species